CCUACGGGUGGCAGCAGUGGGGAAUAUUGCACAAUGGGGGAAACCCUGAUGCAGCGACGCCGCGUGAGUGAAGAAGUAUUUCGGUACGUAAAGCCCUAUCAGCAGGGAAGAAAAUGACGGUACCUGACUAAGAAGCCCCGGCUAACUACGUGCCAGCAGCCGCGGUAAUACGUAAGGGGCAAGCGUUAUCCGGAUUUACUGGGUGUAAAGGGAGCGUAGGCGGCAGCGCAAGUCUGGAGUGAAAUCCCAUGGCUUAACCAUGGAACUGCUUUGGAAACUGUGCAGCUAGAGUGCAGGAGAGGUAAGCGGAAUGCCUAGUGUAGCGGUGAAAUGCGUAGAUAUUAGGAGGAACACCAGUGGCGAAGGCGGCUUACUGGACUGUAACUGACGUUGAGGCUCGAAAGCGUGGGGAGCAAACAGGAUUAGAUAUCCGAGUAGUC
rnacentral:rRNA from 1 species